rnacentral:rRNA from 1 species
GACGGAGGGUGCGAGCGUUGUUCGGAAUUACUGGGCGUAAAGGGCGUGUAGGUUGUCCGGCAAGUCGGAUGUGAAAUCCCAUGGCUCAACCAUGGAACUGCAUUCGAAACUGCCAGACUAGAGUCCAGGAGAGGGAAGCGGAAUUCCCAGUGUAGGAGUGAAAUCCGUAGAUAUUGGGAGGAACACCAGUAGCGAAAGCGGCUUCCUGGUCUGGUACUGACACUGAGACGCGAAAGCGUGGGGAGCAAACAGGAUUAGAUACCCCCGUA